CUUCUCCCCAGAAGGCAUAUGUCAGUGCCUGAAGACGCUGCAGUCAUCACACUAGGAGAGAGAGCUGCUCCUGGCAUUAUACAGAAAGAAGCCUAACUAGGUGAGAGGGAGCUAAGUGCUUGAAGAUCACCCAACGGCUAAAGACACUGCAGGAGCCGUUAUGAUCUAUCAGCCCAGCAAACCUGGUGAAUCUGCCAGAAAGUCUCCACUAAACCAGGCUCCAAAGAGGUCACAGACAGAUUGGAGGUAUGACCAUUCCUAUGUAUGAGCUGCCUGGGAACUUGAAUCCCACUUCCAGGAAAUACUUAGAAGCGACCAAGAAUUUAACUUUGAUUCUGAAAGUGAUGUUUCAGCAAAGGCUGGAAGGAGGUGACUCAGGAAGACCAACCAAGAGGAGAAC
rnacentral:lncRNA from 13 species